rnacentral:rRNA from 1 species
GACGAACGCUGGCGGCGUGCUUAACACAUGCCAGUCGAACGGACAGGCCCUGCGUUUGUGGGUUGCUCGUGUGCCGAACGCGUGAGUAAAACAUGAGUAUACUGCCCUUGUCUUUGGGGUAACUUCAGGAAACAGCGGCUAAUACCGGGUAGGAGCUACUGCUGCGUGGUGGGGGUUGGAAAGUUUCGGCGGUUGGGGCUGGACUCGCGGCUUAUCAGCUUGUUGGUGGGGUAGUGGCUUACCAAGGCUUCGACGGGUAGCCGGCCUGAGAGGGUGGCCGGCGACAUUGCGACUGAGAGACGGCGCAGACUGGUACGGUAGGCAGCAGUGGGAAAUAUUGCACAAUGGGCGCAAGCCUGAUGCAGCAACGCCGCGUGCGGGAUGACGGCCUUCGGGUUGUAAACCGCUUUCGCCUGUGACGAAGCGUGAGUGACGGUAACGGGUCAAGAAGCACCGGCUAACUACGUG